UUAGUACGGCGAGUGAAGCGGCAAAAGCUCAAAUUUGAAAUCUGGUACCUUCGGUGCCCGAGUUGUAAUUUGGAGAGGGCAACUUUGGGGCCGUUCCUUGUCUAUGUUCCUUGGAACAGGACGUCAUAGAGGGUGAGAAUCCCGUGUGGCGAGGAGUGCGGUUCUUUGUAAAGUGCCUUCGAAGAGUCGAGUGUUUUUGGGA
rnacentral:rRNA from 1 species